rnacentral:rRNA from 1 species
AUUCCAGCUCCAAUAGCGUAUAUUAAAGUUGUUGCAGUUAAAACGCUCGUAGUCGGAUUUCGGGGCGGGCCGAACGGUCUGCCGAUGGGUAUGCACUGGCCGGCGCGUCCUUCCACCCGGAGACCGCGCCUACUCUUAACUGAGCGGGCGCGGGAGACGGGUCUUUUACUUUGAAAAAAUCAGAGUGUUUCAAGCAGGCAGUCGCUCUUGCAUGGAUUAGCAUGGGAUAAUGAAAUAGGACUCUGGUGCUAUUUUGUUGGUUUCGAACACCGGAGUAAUGAUUAACAGGGACAGUCAGGGGCACUCGUAUUCCGCCGAGAGAGGUGAAAUUCUUAGACCAGCGGAAGACGAACCACUGCGAAAGCAUUUGCCAGGGAUGUUUUCAUUG